GGGCCCGCACAAGCGGAGGAACAUGUGGUUUAAUUCGAUGAUACGCGAGGAACCUUACCCGGGUUUAAAUGUAGAUUGCAUAGAGUAGAGAUAUUCUUUUCCUUUACGGGACCAUCUACAAGGUGCUGCAUGGUUGUCGUCAGCUCGUGCCGUGAGGUGUCGGGUUAAGUCCCAUAACGAGCGCAACCCUUGCUACCAGUUACCAGCAUGUAAAGAUGGGGACUCUGGUAGGACUGCCGCCGUAAGGCGUGAGGAAGGAGGGGAUGACGUCAAAUCAGCACGGCCCUUACAUCCGGGGCGACACACGUGUUACAAUGGUCGGUACAGAGGGCAGCUACACCGCGAGGUGAUGCUAAUCUCGAAAGCCGAUCGUAGUUCGGAUUGGAGUCUGCAACUCGACUCCAUGAAGCUGGAUUCGCUAGUAAUCGCAUAUCAGCCAUGAUGCGGUGAAUACGUUCCCGGGCCUU
rnacentral:rRNA from 1 species